ensembl:lncRNA
GCCCCAGUGGGAAGUCAGCUUGAAAAGGUUACAGAGGCUGCAGUGGGGACCCAAAGUCUGGGGGCCAAAUGGAGAGAUUUAUAUUUUGUGUUGACUGUGGCUCCUGUAGCUGCAAGUGUUGGUGAUACAGGCACUUGGAGUUGGGAUGAUGUGCUGUGUAGCUCUCUGAGUACUGCUCUCAGGAGCUGCUUGGGGAAGGGUACGAGAGUGCGGCAAGCGUGGAGUGAUGUUUUCUCAGAGCAGCCUUUUAGCCUCAAGCCAUCUGAAGUUCACAGGUUUCCUGAACCGAAGACGGAAUCUCAGCAGCAAGGAAAUCAUUUCAAGCGUUUCCAGGACUUUGAAAGAAGCAGGAGUUCACUGAGAGGGGAAAACUGCCUGCAGGGCGAGCUUUGUGCGUUUCAUCCACCCGCGGAAUACGUUUCCAGGAGGAAAAACUGCAGCAGAACGAGCCCAAACGCCGCCCGCUCGGCAAGCUAAACGCGGAUCUCGCAAAAUCAUCUCUCGAUGAAGGUAAAAUUCGACCGCCCGCUCCGGGCAGAGAUGUUGGAGCAGCCCGGGAGGUCUCAGCGGCCCUCAGCCCGCUGCCAAACCCGUUGGCUC